UACGUAGGGCGCAAGCGUUAUCCGGAAUUAUUGGGCGUAAAGAGCUCGUAGGCGGUUUGUCGCGUCUGCCGUGAAAGUCCGGGGCUCAACUCCGGAUCUGCGGUGGGUACGGGCAGACUAGAGUGCAGUAGGGGGAGACUGGAAUUCCUGGUGUAGCGGUGAAAUGCGCAGAUAUCAGGAGGAACACCGAUGGCGAAGGCAGGUCUCUGGGCAUUAACUGACGCUGAGGAGCGGAAAGCAU
rnacentral:rRNA from 1 species